ensembl:lncRNA
CUGUCCUCUGUCUGUAUGUGACGGAGAAAAUCAUACAUGGAGUUUCUCCUGUUGUAUGGAGGGACACCUCUGUCAGCCCCCUGACUUUGGAGGCCCUGCAAUGGUCACUUUAACCCUCCGGUGAAGUGCAGAAAUGUGAGGAGGAAGGCAGCUAGGAUCUGCGAGAGUCUCUGCAAACCUCCGUACGUCUUUGCCAGAGUGUGAGGAUGAGUGCAGAGGGAACAUCGGGCCGUUCUCCAAAGGGAAUCUUAAUGAAUUCUUGCGCUGGUGUCAUCUAUAUUUCAGGAGCCUUAGAAACCAGAGCGGCCUUGUAGGCUCCCCCCAUAACCCCACCGCCCCGAAGAAGGACCAGCACCGCGCGCACUCAGCUCCUGGAUGUGGGUCAUGCUUAAAUAUGAAUUUUUCAUAUCUUUUGCAACUGUCCCCUGAUUUUGGCCCUGCAUUCAAAGUCGCAGCGCAG